rfam:Triticum aestivum genome assembly, contig: Triticum_aestivum_CS42_TGACv1_scaffold_211302_3AS
UUAGUACUCCCUCCGUCCCAAAAAUUUUGUCUUAGAUUUGUCUAGAUACGGAUGUAACAUGACUUGAUACAUCCAUAUCUAGACAAAUCUAAGACAAGAAUUUUGGGACGGAGGGAGUAUUGU